rnacentral:lncRNA from 1 species
GCAAAUUCUAGAAUCAUAUUCACAGGUAAGUUAAUCAUCCCUUUACUUAUAUAAUUGCAAGCUAAAGCACAUUUGUUAUCUAGUUAGUAUCACAAACAUAAAAAAUAACACACAUGCAGUAAGCAUGUUUAUGAGUAUUUUGUUAAUUGAUGAAGUAAAUUUUACCUCAUGCCGGCGUCAUCUCCUAUGAAAAUUCCCUACUCGGCUUAGCCUUCACUGACCUUGCAAUGGUCUGAAGGCAUAAUUCGUGAGCCAUUAUCAAUACCGACAUCACUCUAUUUUUGUACCCUUCAAGAGCUUGAACCAAUUCACUCCACCAUAGAGGAGAGUACCAAAAUCCUCCAUAUCCAUGUAUUACCCAUAUGAAAGAACUCACUGGUUUCAUCAAAGCAGAACCCAUUCACCGAAACAUCUUUAACAAAAAUCAAAAUGUCAAACCACCAUAGCCACCGGAGAGAAGAACCAAACCACUAUAGUCACCAGAGAGAGGAACUGAACCACCAUAUCCACCAUCGACUCGGUCUCAUCACCAUCACUGCCCGAGAAGGAAGAGAAAAGAGAAGAUGAAAUAAAAUAAGGAAGAAGAUGAAUUAAAAUAGGAGUGAAGAAUAUGGUUACCCAUUUGUAGAACCACCACGAUGAUGGGUGGGAACCACCAUCGAGAAACGGAACCAUCGCGGUUCACCACCAAAAGGAGCUUCAAAAAAAACGGGACAACAAUCUUAAAGCCAAGUCGUCAUCUUGAUCCUUUGCUUGUUUCAGCCUCUGCCGGUAAGAACUUAUUGCCACCGCCGGAGAUGGAGAGGAGAUGGGGGAAAAGAGGAUUUAAGGAUUUAAGUCCCUUUGUACCCGUGAGGGAGGGGGUAACAUGUUCUCUUUU